GAAACGGGUGGUAAUGCCGGAUGCUCCAGUUGAUCGCAUGGUCUUCUGGGAAAGCUUUCGCGGUAUGGGAUGGGGUCGCGUCCUAUCAGCUUGACGGCGGGGUAACGGCCCACCGUGGCUUCGACGGGUAGCCGGCCUGAGAGGGCGACCGGCCACAUUGGGACUGAGAUACGGCCCAGACUCCUACGGGAGGCAGCAGUGGGGAAUAUUGCACAAUGGGCGCAAGCCUGAUGCAGCGACGCCGCGUGAGGGAUGGAGGCCUUCGGGUUGUAAACCUCUUUUAUCGGGGAGCAAGCGAGAGUGAGUUUACCCGUUGAAUAAGCACCGGCUAACUACGUGCCAGCAGCCGCGGUAAUACGUAGGGUGCAAGCGUUAUCCGGAAUUAUUGGGCGUAAAGGGCUCGUAGGCGGUUCGUCGCGUCCGGUGUGAAAGUCCAUCGCUUAACGGUGGAUCCGCGCCGGGUACGGGCGGGCUUGAGUGCGGUAGGGGAGACUGGAAUUCCCGGUGUAACGGUGGAAUGUG
rnacentral:rRNA from 1 species